ensembl:lncRNA
UGCCUGGGAUUGCUGUGGCCAAAGUGCAGGAUCUGGCACUUGGUCUUGCUGAACUUCAUCCCACUGGCCUCAGUCAAAAAAUCCAGCCUGUCCAGAUCCCUCCUACCUCCAGGCAGAUUGACACUUCUUUCCAACUUGGUGUUGUCUGCAGGCUUACUGAGGUUGAGCUCAAUUCGCUUGUAAAGAUAUUAAAUAGGACAGACACCAAUACCGACCCUGAGGAACACCACUUGUGACCAGUCAUUAGUUGGGUAUAACUCCAUUCAUGACUACUUUCUGGACCUGGCUACGUAGCUAGUUCAUGACCCAGUGGAAUGUACCUGUCCAUACCAUGGGCUUUCAGCUUUCCCAGGAGAAUACUCUGGGAGACAGUGUCAAAGGCUCUGUUAAAGUCUAGGUAGACUAUGUCAGCAUCCUUUCCCUCACCCACUCAACAGUUCACUCUGUCGUAGAAGGAGAUCAGGUUGGUCAAGCAGGACCUGCCUUUCAUGAACCUAUGCUUGCUGAGCGUGAUCUUGCUGUUUGUCUAGGCUGUGUGAUCUCCCUCAAGAUCAUCUGCUCCAUAACCUUACCUGGCACUGAGGUCAGGCUGACAAGCUUGUAGUUUUUUGGAUCCUAUUUACAACCCUUCUUGUAUAUUGGAGUCACACAAGCCUCCAAUCCUUUCACUUCUCCAAUUGACCAGGGACACUGAUAGAUCAUGGAAAGUGACUUGGUUAUCACCUCCACUGUCACCCUUGAGUGAAUCCCAUCCAGACCCAUGGACUUGUGGAAGUCCAGGUGCAGUAGUAGGUCUCUGUUUCCACCUGAAUUUUGGAGGGCUUAUUCUGCACCCCAUCCAAGACUUCCAGGUCAGGAGGUAGAGUGCCCAAAGGAGAACUGGCCUGACUUUUAAAGGCAGAGGUAAAGAAGUCAUUGAGAACCUCAGCCUUUCUUUUGUCCUCAGUAGUCACAUUCUGUGCCACAUCUAGUAAAGGAUGGAUAUUUUAUUGGAAGGAAU